rnacentral:rRNA from 1 species
AGCGAACGCCGGCGGCAUGCCUAACACAUGCAAGUCGAACGCCUGCAGCAAUGCAGGAGUGGCAGACGGGUGAGUAACACGUGGGAAUCUACCCAGUAGCUCGGAAUAACCGCGGGAAACUGCGGCUAAUACCGGAUAAGCCCCGAGGGGGAAAGGAGCAAUCCACUAUUGGAGGAGCCCGCGUCUGAUUAGCUAGUUGGUGGGGUAAUGGCCUACCAAGGCGAUGAUCAGUAGCUGGUUUGAAAGAACGACCAGCCACACUGGGACUGAGACACGGCCCAGACUCCUACGGGAGGCAGCAGUGGGGAAUAUUGGACAAUGGGGGAAACCCUGAUCCAGCAAUGCCGCGUGGGUGAUGAAGGCCUUCGGGUUGUAAAGCCCUUUUGUCGGGGACGAUGAUGACGGUACCCGACGAAUAAGCCCCGGCUAACUUCGUGCCAGCAGCCGCCGUAA